UGGCCAAAGAUGAAAACUGUGAACUGAUUGUGGAUAUCUCUGUAGAGUAUCAUGCACAGAUCUGAUGGCUUAAAGGAUUUUCUGAGGCCA